AUGGAUAAGUGGAAUGGAAAAGUUGCUGUAGUAACAGGCGCUUCUUCUGGAAUCGGAAAGGAGACUUGUAAACAACUGGUUGAAAAUGGAAUGAUUGUUGUUGGUUUUGCUAGAAGAGAAGAUAAACUUCAGGAGUUAGAAAAGGAAUUAAAAGGAAAACUCGGUACAUUUUAUUAUGUUAAAGUUGAUUUGUGUUCGGAAGAAAACAUUUUGGAAGCCUUUAAUUGGGUAAAGAAAACAUUGAAAUCAGUUGACGUACUAGUUAACAAUGCAGGUGUUUGGAAGCUAAGUGAUUUCUUAGGAAACACGAAUGAUUGGAAGCAAAUGUAUGACACUAAUGUCAUAGGUUUAACUAUUUGUAGUAGAGAGGCCAUAAAAAUCAUGGAGGAAAUAAAAAUCAAACAGGGUCACAUAAUAAAUAUUAACAGUUUUGCAGGUCAUAACCAAAUUUCAUUUAUAAAGGAUAUUUCAGUUUAUGCCGCUACCAAACAUAGUGUUACCUCAAUUACAGACAAUUUAAGAGAGUUGAUGGGUAUGAAAGAUUUACCCAUCAGAGUUACGAGUAUCAGCCCGGGAGCAGUAGAAACCGAAAUGACAGAAGAGUUCAGAAAAUCAGGAGCGCAUAAGAUGAUGAAAGCUAUUGAUAUUGUUGAUGCUAUUAUGUUCGCAUUGAGUGCACCACAGCGUGUUAACGUCGCAGAAAUCAUCUUGACACCAACAGGCGAGAAUAUAUUAGGUUUUCUUAAGAAUUCCGCAUAGAUAUAAAUUAUGAUUAAUAUACACAUCCGUGAGCCGCACUUCAAGUUAACAGCAUCAUGAACAAUUAAUAUACGUAGUAGGUACCUUUCAAUAGUGUUAUCACAUAUUUAUACCAAAUUCACCUAUGCCCACUGCCCAGUGGCCACUACCAAUCAACACGUCACAUCUUCUUAUUGUAAUACUCUGUAAAGCAGAUUGUUGUUCAUCAAAAUAAAAAAUUAAAUAAAGAACUAUUUCAAUAUAUUAUUGUAUUAUUAUAAAUUUCUUUUAAAUAGAUAUUAUAACUCUUUUUUAUGUUUGUUUUGUAAUUUAUUUUUCUCUUUAAAAUAUAUGUAUUGAUGUAGGUAUUAUACGAUUUCUUUGUUGGGUUACUUUAAGCUGUUUGAAGUUUAUAAAUAAAGAAUAUUUAUUUUAAAUACA